CCAUGCAUGUCUAAGUAUAAGCAAUUAUACAGCGAAACUGCGAAUGGCUCAUUAUAUAAGUUAUCGUUUAUUUGAUAGUACCUUACUACUUGGAUAACCGUGGUAAUUCUAGAGCUAAUACAUGCUAAAAAUCCCGACUUCGGAAGGGAUGUAUUUAUUAGAUUAAAAACCAAUGCCCUCUGGGCUCCUUGGUGAUUCAUAAUAACUUUUCGAAUCGCAUGGCCUUGCGCCGGCGAUGGUUCAUUCAAAUUUCUUCCCUAUCAACUUUCGAUGUUUGGGUAUUGGCCAAACAUGGUCGCAACGGGUAACGGAGGGUUAGGGCUCGACCCCGGAGAAGGAGCCUGAGAAACGGCUACUACAUCCAAGGAAGGCAGCAGGCGCGCAAAUUACCCAAUCCCGAUUCGGGGAGGUAGUGACAAUAAAUACUGAUACAGGGCUCUUUUGGGUCUUGUAAUUGGAAUGAGUACAAUUUAAAUCCCUUAACGAGGAACAAUUGGAGGGCAAGUCUGGUGCCAGCAGCCGCGGUAAUUCCAGCUCCAAUAGCGUAUAUUAAAGUUGUUGUGGUUAAAAAGCUCGUAGUUGAACCUUGGGCCUGGCUGGCCGGUCCGCCUCACCGCGUGUACUGGUCCGGCCGGGCCUUUCCCUCUGUGGAACCUCAUGCCCUUCACUGGGUGUGGCGGGGAAACAGGACUUUUACUUUGAAAAAAUUAGAGUGCUCCAGGCAGGCCUAUGCUCGAAUACAUUAGCAUGGAAUAAUGAAAUAGGACGUGUGGUUCUAUUUUGUUGGUUUCUAGGACCGCCGUAAUGAUUAAUAGGGACAGUCGGGGGCAUCAGUAUUCAAUUGUCAGAGGUGAAAUUCUUGGAUUUAUUGAAGACUAACUACUGCGAAAGCAUUUGCCAAGGAUGUUUUCAUUAAUCAGGAACGAAAGUUAGGGGAUCGAAGACGAUCAGAUACCGUCGUAGUCUUAACCAUAAACUAUGCCGACUAGGGAUCGGACGAUGUUAUUUUUUGACGCGUUCGGCACCUUACGAGAAAUCAAAGUGCUU
rnacentral:rRNA from 3 species